rnacentral:rRNA from 1 species
GAUGAACGCUAGCUACAGGCUUAACACAUGUAAGUCGUGGGGCAGCAUGACGAUAGCUUGCUAUUGUUGAUGGCGACCGGCGCACGGGUGAGUAACGCGUAUCCAACCUGCCCUUGUCCACCGGAUAACCCGUCGAAAGGCGGACUAACACGGUAUGCAGUCCACAGCAGACAUCUAACGUGGACGAAAUGUGAAGGAGAAGGAUGGGGAUGCGUCUGAUUAGCUUGUUGGCGGGGUAACGGCCCACCAAGGCGACGAUCAGUAGGGGUUCUGAGAAGAAGAGCCCCCACAUUGGAACUUAGGCACGGUCCAAACUCCUACGGGAGGCAGCAGUGAGGAAUAUUGGUCAAUGGGCGAGAGCCUGAACCGGCCAAGUAGCGUGCAGGAAGACGGCCCGAUGGGUUGUAAACUGCUUUUAUACGGGGAUAAAGUGAGUCACGUGUGGCCUAUUGCAGGUACCGUAUGAAUAAGGACCGGCUAAUUCCGUGCCAGCCGCCGCGGUAA